AACGCACAUGGCACCUGACAGGACAUCUGUCAAGUAUACCUGUUUGAGCACAGGAGCAAAAGAUAGGGGCGUUGAGGCAGUCAUGCCUUGAGGUGUUUGAGUUGAGGCUCAGGCAGGGUGAGAGGAUUGAUGGCAACAAUCAUCUCAAAUCAGCUCAUCCCAGUCUGUGCCUUUAAACGAGUAGUUUCAGGCCGAGAGCCGGUGUGGUAGCAGGACAGCGUCUUGACAUCGCAGGCACUCGGGGGACGAAGCUUUGUGUGGGUGUGUGGGGUGUAGGGUGAGAUGAGUGCGGGAUGCGGCAAUUGGUUGCGUCCCGUGCUUACAUCCCAUUCCCCUCCUCCUCCUCCUUCAACCAUCACCAGUCUCAAAUCAGGCAAGACUACCCGCUGAACUUAA
rnacentral:misc_RNA from 1 species